GAUAUUGUGGCCGAGUGGUUAAGAUAAGAGAUUACGCAUCUCUUACUUUCGGGUGUGCAAGUUCGAAUCUUGUUGAUGCCG